rnacentral:rRNA from 1 species
CUAAAAACCUAGCCCAACAAACAUGAAUUUUACUUAAUUAACUAAACCCCCCUUAACAAACCAUUUUAACAUUCUAGUAAAGGAGAUUGAAAAACUUAUUUGGAGCUAUAAAAACAGUACCGCAAGGGAACGGUGAAAUAUUAUGAAAAACUUCAAGCAGCAAAAAGUAAAGAUUACCUCUUGUACCUUUCGCAUCAUGGUUUAACUAGUCUAACCAAGCAAAACGUAUUUAAGUUUGACUUCCCGAAACUAAGUGAGCUACUUCAGGGCAGCUAGAAGAGCAAACCCGUCUCUGUAGCAAAAGAGUGGGACGACCCUCAAGUAGUGGUGACAGACCUAACGAACUUAGUGAUAGCUGGUUGCUCAAGAAACGGAUUUAAGUCCAACCUGAAAGUUUUAUAACCUAAGUUCAUCAAAACAAUCACCUAACUUUCAGCGUAAUUCAAAUAAGGUACAGCCUAUUUGAAACAGGAUACAACCUAGCCUAGUGGAUAAGAUCAGCCUAACAUACAAUCAAGUGGGCCUAAAAGCAGCCACCUUUAAUACAGCGUCAAAGCUAAAUUGUAACCGAGCCCAAUUACUUAACCCAUAUCUUAAUCCCCUGCUAAUACUGAGUAAUUCUAUAAUAUUAUAGAAAUUUUUAUGUUAAAACUAGUAACA